GAAGUUGACUAAGACAGUCGCUGCUAAUUUUUUAAAAAAUAUUUUAGGAGAGGAAAGUCCGGGCUCCUAGGGCUAAAGUGCCAGGUAACACCUGGGAGAUGUAAAUCUACGACUAGUGCCACAGAAAAUAUACCGCCUAAUUUUUUAUAUAUUGUAAUAAAAAAUAUAUAAAUUUUAAAAUUUUUUAUAUUUAAAUUAAGGUAAGGGUGAAAUGGUGUGGUAAAAGCACACCGCAUAAUUGGUAACAAUAUAUGGCAAGGUAAACUCCACUUGGAGCAAGGCCAAAUAAGAAUUUUAUAGCUCAAAGCCCUAGCUCAAAAAAUUCGGGUAGGCUGCUUGAAUUAGUAAGUGAUUACUAAUCUAGAUUAAUGACUGUUUAAUACAGAACCCGGCUUAUUAGUCAACUUCUAAC
rnacentral:RNase_P_RNA from 1 species